UACGUAGGGGGCGAGCGUUGUCCGGAUUUAUUGGGCGUAAAGAGCGUGUAGGCGGCCAGGUAGGUCUGCUGUGAAAACUCGAGGCUCAACCUCGAGACGUCGGCGGAAACCAUCUGGCUAGAGUCCGGAAGAGGAGAGUGGAAUUCCUGGUGUAGCGGUGAAAUGCGCAGAUAUCAGGAAGAACACCCGUGGCGGAAGGCGGCUCUCUGGGACGGUACUGACGCUGAGACGCGAAAGCGUGGGGAGCGAACAGG
rnacentral:rRNA from 1 species